rnacentral:lncRNA from 1 species
GCAGGUACUGUCAGCAGGCCUCAGGCAGAAGCAGACAAGAAGGGGAAAUGCCACAAGACUAGGCCGUGCAACAUUUCCGCAGUGCUCCUCGCUACAAAGACAUUCCCCUAAGGCUGGUGGGCAACUCAACACUCAGCUCAGUACGUGGUCAGCUCGUCCUCCAUAGGAGCCUUAUGCCUUGGUGAGGAGAUCUCUGAAGAAAUUGCUGAUGAAAGUCCAACAGGCUCUUCCAGUUUGUCUGGUCGGUCACAUUUGCUGAAACCUGGAGGAAUUGUUAGUGGAAGCUCAACAGGCCUGACUCAGUCUGACUGUCCAUUCUUCUGGAAGCUGCAGAGAAAAGAAACCUGGAAACCUUAUAUGCUGACAAAAAGGGACACAAUUGGAUAUGAUGGUUAUUUUACCAAGGUUUUGAAAUGUCGUGCUUUCAAAUAUAAACAGACUGCUUUAAGGAAUCGAAGUUGACUUAUAGAGCCAAUAAAAGCCCUGCAGGAAAGCUGGCCUCAUACUUUGUCUACACAGUCUCUGUACAGGUUUCCUGACCUGUGGCUAGAAUCCCCAGUACAAUAUUGAACAUAAGUUGUCAGAGCAGAAAUCCUUGCCUUGUU